rnacentral:rRNA from 1 species
CACGCUGUAAACGAUGAGUACUAGGUGUAGGUGGAGUGAAAUCCGUCUGUGCCGAAGCAAACGCGCUAAGUACUCCGCCUGGGGAGUACGGCCGCAAGGCUAAAACUCAAAGGAAUUGAC